AGUCUAGCAUGUGCGCGAGUCAUUGGGACUCAAUAAACCUAAAGGCGCAAUGAAAGUGAAAGUCUGUUUACGCGGACUUAGGGAGGAUAGGUGCGUACACGUUGUGUACAACCUCGCACUCCCGGGGCGUCUCGCACUCAUUGCGAGGUGGGGCGCACCAAGAGCGUACACGCUGGGACCCGAAAGAUGGUGAACUAUGCCUGGUCAGGACGAAGUCAGGGGAAACCCUGAUGGAGGUCCGUAGCGAUUCUGACGUGCAAAUCGAUCGUCGGAACUGGGCUUAGGGGCGAAAGACUAAUCGAACCAUCUAGUAGCUGGUUCCCACCGAAGUUUCCCUCAGGAUAGCUGGCACUAGAUUAUGGAUGAGUCUCAUCCGGUAAAGCGAAUGAUUAGAGGCAUUGGGGUCGAAACGGCCUCAACCUAUUCUCAAACUUUAAAUGGGUGAGAUCUCCGGCUUGCUCGAUUUAUGAAGCCGGAGAUCGGAUCAAUUAGUGCCAAGUGGGCCACUUUUGGUAAGCAGAACUGGCGCUGUGGGAUGAACCAAACGCAGAGUUAAAGCGCCAAAAUCGACGCUUAUGGGAUACCAUGAAAGGCGUUGGUAACUUAAGACAGCAGGACGGUGGCCAUGGAAGUCG
rnacentral:rRNA from 1 species